rnacentral:rRNA from 1 species
CAUGCAGUCGAACGAUGAUAGAGAGCUUGCUCUCUUGAUUAGUGGCGCACGGGUGAGUAUACCAUAGAUAAUGUACCUCUUAGUUCGGGAUAGCCACUGGAAACGGUGAUUAAUACCGGAUACUCCUUCUUGUCUUAAGGCGAGUCGGGAAAGUUUUUUCGCUAAGAGAUCAGUCUAUGUCCUAUCAGCUAGUUGGUGAGGUAAUGGCUCACCAAGGCUAUGACGGGUAUCUGGUUUGAGAGGAUGAUCAGACACACUGGAACUGAGACACGGUCCAGACUCCUACGGGAGGCAGCAGUGAGGAAUAUUGCACAAUGGAGGAAACUCUGAUGCAGCAACGCCGCGUGGAGGAUGACGCAUUUCGGUGUGUAAACUCCUUUUAAGAGGGAAGAUAAUGACGGUACCUCUUGAAUAAGCACCGGCUAACUCCGUGCCAGCAGCCGCGGUAAUGCGGAGGGUGCAAGCGUUACUCGGAAUCACUGGGCGUAAAGGGUGCGUAGGCUGGCUUCUAAGUCAGAUGUGAAAUCCAAUGGCUUAACCAUUGAACUGCAUUUGAAACUGGGAGCCUAGAGUUCAGAAGGGGCAGAUGGAAUUAGUGGUGUAGGGGUAAAAUCCGUAGAUAUCACUAGGAAUAUCAAAAGCGAAGGCGAUCUGCUGGGAUGAUACUGACGCUGAGGCACGAAAGCGUGGGGAGCAAACAGGAUUAGAUACCCUGGUAGUCCACGCCCUAAACGAUGAGUGCUAGUCGUCGGGGAGCUCGUCUCUUCGGUGAUGCACUUAACAGAUUAAGCAUUCCGCCUGGGGAGUA